CCACUCCUCUCUUCUUGGGAACCCCUAAACAGACUCUCUUCCCCUCCCCUUGUCUGUUAAGCGUGCUCCCCUCUGCCUUGGACGCCGCAGUCCGCGGACCCGAGUCCAGCCUGGACCAGCACAGCGCAGAGCGUGGGCUUUUCACUCUGCCAAUUACUGCAACCUUGAGGCCUAUAGGCAGUGUGGACCUCGGGCAAGUUGUAAAACAAAAGGACUUCUGGGACCCUUCUCAGGGAGGAAAGGGAUGCUGGAGCUGCUGCAGCCCUUUUGGCACCUUGAGGUAAGUCAGCCUCUAAGUGAAGAAACCAUGUGCUUCCUGCCAAAUUCCAAAGACCCUUCCCUGGGAACUUCCCACUUCAUCCCAAGUACCUUCAAAAGGAAGACCCUACCUGGCAAAUCUCCAGCCUCUGACAACUGCACUGCACCAUGGCUGACAUGUUUCUCUUUUUAGAAGCUUCUGGAAGCUGGGUGCAUUUGACCACUGAGAGGCUGAGCCCCCAUCAUCAGCCGUCAUCCCUGGCAGCACUGGUCUCUGAAUGGCAGGCUUGGAGGUUUUUUUUUCUUUAUGUCUCUCCAGAGAGACAUUUUGAAGACUUCUCUGAUUCAUUAUGAUGACUUUGCUUUUUUUUUUUCUCCCCCAGUGCUGCUUUCCUUGGUUCAAAACAAAAAAAUUUCCAUAACAUCACACAAAUGCUUUGGCUCCAAGAGACUCUUACCGUCCAGAAUGAAAAUUAAGUUAGUUGAAAAAUCUUCCUGCCUUGUAUCCAAACACCACAGAACUGGAGUGAAGUUCAUUAGCCCAGACCAGGAGUGGGACCGAGGACAUUUGGGAACAGGCAAGCAAUGGGGCUCAUCAAGUCAAUGCAUUCAACUAACGUUAUUGUUCAUUUGCCAAGUCUUUCACUACCUGUGUUGCUUGAAGCUUCAGCUUCAGCAAUAGUCCUUCCAAUGAAUAUUCAGGACUGAUGUCCUUUAGGAUGGACUGGUUGGAUCUCCUUGCAGUCCAAGGGACUCUCAAGAGUCUUCUCCAGCACCACAGUUCAAAAGCAUCAAUUCUUCGGUGCUCAGCCUUCUUUAUGGUCUAACUCUUGUGAAUAAACUCUUUCUCUACUGCA